rnacentral:ncRNA from 2 species
GCCUGUAGCUCGGGGUGCUCCUAAUUGGUGCUGAGAAUAUACCCGUAAACCUGAACUGGAUAAUACCAGCGUAGGAAAGUUAAGGACACUUAGU